rnacentral:rRNA from 1 species
UACGUAGGGUGCGAGCGUUAAUCGGAAUUACUGGGCGUAAAGUGUGCGCAGGCGGCCGCGCAAGUCGAGUGUGAAAGCCCCGAGCUUAACUUGGGAAUUGCGCUCGAAACUACGUGGCUGGAGUGUGGCAGAGGAAGGUGGAAUUCCACGUGUAGCGGUGAAAUGCGUAGAUAUCUGGAGGAACACCGGUGGCGAAGGCGGCAUCCUGGACCAACACUGACACUGAGGAGCGAAAGCCAGGGGAGCAAACGGG